UCACUACUUGCGUAGGCAGUCUGGCUAGAGUUCCCGACAUUACUCGCUGGCAACUAACCACAGGGGUUGCGCUCGUUAUAGGACUUAACCUGACACCUCACGGCACGAGCUGACGACAACCAUGCAGCACCUUGUAAUCUGCCCGAAGGAAAGGGUGUUUCCACCCCUGUCAGACUACAUUUAAGCCCUGGUAAGGUUCCUCGCGUAUCAUCGAAUUAAACCACAUGCUCCACCGCUUGUGCGGGCCCCCGUCAAUUCCUUUGAGUUUCAUUCUUGCGAACGUACUCCCCAGGUGGGAUACUUAUCACUUUCGCUUAGCCACUGAGCCGAAGCCCAACAGCUAGUAUCCAUCGUUUACGGCGUGGACUAC
rnacentral:misc_RNA from 1 species